rnacentral:misc_RNA from 1 species
GAUGAAGAACGUAGCGAAAUGCGAUAAGUAGUGUGAAUUGCAGAAUUCAGUGAAUCAUCGAAUCUUUGAACGCACAUUGCGCCCUUUGGUAUUCCUUAGGGCAUGCCUGUUCGAGCGUCAUUUAAACCUUCAAGCUAAGCUUGGUGUUGGGUGACUGUCCGCUUCACGGCGGACUCGCCUCAAAAUUAUUGGCGGCCGGUACAUUGGCUUCGAGCGCAGCAGAAACGCGAACUCGGGCCCGUCGUAUUGGCUCCCAGAAGCUAUCUUCACAAUUUUGACCUCGGAUCAGGUAGGGAUACCCGCUGAACUUAAGCAUACAAUAAGCGGAGGA